AGAGACGGCUUUUGGCCACCUUUGAGAAUCAGGGUCAAACUUGGAAGGGCCUGCAUUUGUCACACUUCCUCGGACACUAAUUUGGAUAGUUCAGGCCCAGAGACGGCUUCCCGGGUUAGUGUGCCUGACAACACUGAAGAAAAAUUGUGACAUUUUCCUUCCCCAGAAUUACUUCGUUUUAUACAUUUCACUUCUCUUCUGAAAUCACAGCAAUGCCAGUUUGCGCCUUUUGGUCUGAGGAACGCAGGCCCUGGCCACUACCAGGAAAAAGUACACAAGGCUUGCUUGUAGAGAUGGAGUUACAUGGAGGGACAGAAGGUCACUGGUCAGUGAUUUUAGGUUUUUAUACUUCUGAAAACAGAACCUUCUGGAUUUCAGCUUUGGCAAGCUUCCUCUGUUUCUGAGACACCUCCAUCACCUGGGUUACAAUCCCAUCCAUGAUUUUCCCCAUCUCCAGGCAUUUUUCAUGGAAAGCUCCUCAUGCUUUUUAAUUCCAGUUUAUCCAUUUGUGUGGCUUUAACCUCCACAUCCAGGUCUUUCUGGCUAAACUGCAGUAUAUCCACAAUGGGGCCAAUGGACACAUAAGGGAGGCCCUAUCACAGGAACACGAACACCCGGAGUCGCUAGAAAUCAGAUUCCACCGGCUUUGCUUCAGGCCGACUUCCUAAGGAAGGCAUGGUAGCAUCACAGAUGCUGUUUGUCUCAGUUUCCUGAGAAGCCAGUUUCUUAGAGCUGUCAUUCAAGAGUGGGUCAAAUUUGAGAUAUAAAAACCUUUCUCAAGGUAGACUCUUUGGCCCCUAUGCCUAGUAUGUCAGCUGGGCCUCUGAAGCUCUCCUCUUUGAGGUCCUGGCAGGCUCUGGCCCCUGUUGAGAAGGGGAAGCAGUCAUGUGAACUCAUGUGCUGGAAGAAUCCACUCUACCCCUUCCCUGGCUUCUCUGCUGCAAUUUUUGUCUUUAAACGUAUUUUCAGAUCCUUUGCACAUGGCCUGCUAUCAACAAUCCUCUACAAUGAUUCUCAGCAUCACCUAGGGAGCUUAUGUAAAAUCUCAAAUUCCUGGGCCCUAUCCCCAGAGUUUCUUAUCAAGUAAGUCUGCAUUGGGAUCUGAGGAUUUGCAUCUCUAACAAAAAUUCCUAGGCGAUGCUCACACUGUUGGUGUAAGGUUUCCUUGAUGGAGAACUAUCAAAGCAGUCAAAGCUAUCAAAAUAAAAAAGAAUUCUGAUUGGGUGCAGUGGCUCACACCUGUCAUUCCAGCACUUUGAGAGGCCAAGGUGGGCAGAUCACAUGAGGCCAGGAGUUCAAGACCAGCCUGGCCAACAUGGCAGAAACCCCAUCUCUACUAAAAAUACCAAAAUUAGCCGGGCAUGGUGGAACACACCUGCAAUCCCAGCUACUCGGGAGGCUGAGGCAAGAGAAUCGCUUGAACCUGGGAGGCAGAAGUUGCAGUGAAACAAGUUGGUGCCAAUGCAUUCCAGCCUGGAUGAUGGAGCGAGACUCUGUCUCAAGAAAAAAAAAACAAAAACAAAAACAGAACUCUGCCUCAUAGCGUCUUUUAAGUUAUACACUGGACCUAUCCUUUCCUCACUGACAGACAUUUUAAAAAUUUUUUGGUAAGGCCUAGUUCAUAUAAAAUGUAAUCCAAGCCAAAAGUUAACAAGAAUAAGGGGAGGAAAGGGGACUCCAAUAGCAGAGAAAGGUAUUUACCUGGGAUAUACACUGCAAGAAAAUCAAAGCUAUAAGAAACGUCCAUGAAUAGUAGCCAUAAGGCAUCAGAGUGAUAAAAUUCCUGUCCCUAGGAGGGAAUAUUGGAGUUUGCCAGAGAAACAGAAUGAGAGAGACAGAGAGGUUUAUUGUAGGAAUUGGCUCAUAUGAUUACGGAGGCUGAGAAGACCCACGAUCUGCCAUCUGCAAGCUGGAGAAUCAGGAAAGCUGGAGGUGUAAUUCAGUCAAGUCCAAUGGCCAGAGAAGCAAGUGUACUGAUAUCCAAGAGCAGGAGAAAAUAGAUGUCCCAGAACAAGCAGAGAGGCUGAUUUUGUCCUUCCUCUGCCUUUUUGUUUCAUAUGGGGCACUGAAUGGACUGAUGCCCAUCCACAUUAGUGAGGGUGGAUCUUCUUUACUCAGUCUACCAGUAGAAAUGUCAAUGACUUCCAGAAACACCCUCACCAACACACGUGGAAAUAAUGUUUUACCAGGUAUCUGGGCAUCCCUUGGUUCACUCAAGUUGACACAAAAUUAACCAUCACAGAAGGAGACUGGCCUUACUCUGAAAUUAGGAAACUAAAGAAGUGACCAGAAUGGAGACUAGGUAGAGACAACUAGUUCUCUACCAAACAUGUACAGUUAUUCGUUGGUAUCUGAAGGGGAUUGGUUCCAGGAACUCUCAGGGAUACCAAAAUCUGCAGGUGCUCAAGUCAUUUAUAUAAAAUAUUACAGUAUUUGCAUAUAACCUUUGCACAUCUUCCAUAUACUUUAAAUCAUCUCUACAUUACUUAUAAUAAUGAAUGUGUAAAUGCUAUGAAAAUAGUUACUACACUAUUGUUUAUUUGUAUUUUUAUUGAAUUGUUUUGGGGUGGGGGGCAGCUGUAUCUUUCUUAGUAAUAGAACCCCUGGUUUUAGCUGGGCACAUGACUGCCCUCAAUAAAGAUUAAAGUACCCCAGCCUUCCUUGAGAUUGUGGCCAUGUGACUGAACUUUAGACAGUGAGAUAUAAGCAGAUAUCUUCUGUGGCAGUGUUAGGAAACUAUUAAAGACAGUAAGAACAUUGCCCUUUGCCUUCUUUUUCCUUUCUUCAUUUUUCUGCCUGGAAUGCAAAUGUGAUGGCUAACACCCUAGCAGCCAUUUUAGAUUAUGAAGAUGAGAGUCACUCCCCAGGAAGGGUGGACCUGAAAGCUGGAUUCUAGAUGUGGAAUGACAAUACCAGCCCUGGACUACCUACCUGUAGGCUGUGUGUGUGUGUGUGUGAUUGACAGAGAGAGAGAGAGAUAGAUACCACAAGUAACACAAAGCAUCAUACCUGGGACUGGGAAGGUUAAUGUUUAAACAUUUUAAAUGUGGCAUUGGUUUGUUGAAGACAGUCAAGCAGUAGGUGCUGCAGGCUUUGUUGAGGCUAGAAAGCUGUUGGUCUUUAUUAGGUGAUGGCAAAACAAUGGAUCACAUUUUCAUGUGCUGUGUCUUGGGAGGCAAAUGAUGAGAAUGUAGGAUUGGGGAAAAUGGUAAGGAAAAUCCAAAAUGUUCAUGUUUUCUAACCCCUUCUUGCCAAUCUUAAAAGAAGGACAAACAGGCUAGAUUAAGCAAGUCUACAGUUACAAUUGGAAGGAAACACAGCCGUACUAAGGAAGUACUCUGUCUGUGGCCUGCAGUCUAGUUUGACUAGGUCCUGUAUUUGAGCUUUGAAAGAGUAAAGAAUACAAGUGCUCGUAUACCCCUGAAGUAGUUACCAGCAGUGACUGCAAGGAGGUAAUCUUAUGGGAUGAAACUAUAACUCUGUAUUAACCAUCAUAUAUAGCAUAUAUGUGUAUAUGUAUGUGUGUGUGUGUAUAUGUGUAUAUAAAUAUAUGUGUGUGUAUAUACACACAUGUACACACCCUACAACCCAGUGAUUUCAAAAAAUUAAACAUUUGUUUAGCUCAUGAAUCUGUGGGUUGGGUGAACAUUUCUAUUGGUCUUGGCUGGGCUCACCUGUACCCAGUCAGCUGCAGGGUCUAGCUCUUCUUAUCUUGGCUGGGAUCUCACACAUGUCUAGGAUCAGCUGCUUUACUAGUCUAGGAUUGUCUUGGCUGAGACAGGUGGACUACUCAGUUCUCCUCCACUGCCUUAUCCUUCAGCUGGCCAGCCCAGAAAUGUUGCCAUGUUUACAGCAUAAGAGCAAGCAAGAAAGAAUAAUAUGCAACCACUUUUCCAAGCCUAAGGUGAAAGGGCGGGCAGAACCUGUGGUGUUAGGAGGCAACUCAUACCAGCCCAUGGGUCUACCGUUUAAUUUUCAGAAAUUUGGCAAGCUGAUUGUUAACACAGCUGUUGUUUAAUUUAUGUACUUGUAAUUAAAUAAUUUACAUUAAAACAAAGAUAAUAGGUACUCAAAA
rnacentral:lncRNA from 1 species